ensembl:lncRNA
UGCUCUGCUUGUCACGUAUAGAAAAGCCAUUAGUUGUUUUAGAGACUGAAAAGAUACAAGGUUGGUUUUUCUUGUUUGUAUUUUUUUCAUGUAGCCUGAAAAGGAUAAGAAUAACAAUGGAGAAAAAGAAAGAGAAAGAGCACGAGAAGGAAAAGAGGAGGAAGAGGAAGAAGAGGAGGGGGAGGAAGAAGAGCAAAUCAAGCAAAAAAGGGAGAAAAACGGCGUUUUUAAAAAAAUGUUUGGAUUCCUUUUCAAUAAAUCAAAGAAGAAAGAUGGAACGAAAGAAAAUACGAAACACCAAGCUGCAAAUGAACAGAGGAAGAGUUAUUAUGCUGCAAAUGAUGAAUUUUUUGAUGCAUACGAUUAUGACUGAAGGGAUUAUUUUGAACCUCUCACCAUCUGUUGUUAUAAAGGAUUUUAAUGUUCCAGCUCGUGAAGCAUCAUAUUUGGUGGUAUCUUCAACAACAUCAUUUUAAAAUAUUUAAGUAACUGCAUCUUCUCAGCACAAUUAGAAAUGUAAACUUUAAUUAUGACUUACGUUCUCUUUAUUUGUAGGAUAUAUGAAUACUCACCAUUAGGAUUUUGUGAAAAUGAAGAUGUUAAAUUAUUUAGCAAAACUGGCACAUGUAGUGAUUUUUGCUAUACAAGUUGUUGAUGAUUAAUUCUUUUUGUAAUUUCCUGAUGAAUUAUUUCUCUAUGUCUGCCUAAUCAGCAGGCCUGCUGUGAAAUAUAAUUGCACUUGCAAGAAAAUUACAGUCUCAUGAGAUGAAUAGGUUUGAUGAUUAAAUUUAGUAGAAUGAAGUAAUAAGAUUCAAACACCCAAGCAAAAUGGCAUGCUGCUCCUUUAACAUUAUUUGAUGACCUCCCUAAAAAAACACAGAACAAUGUUUGGGAAACAAUCCAGCUUGACACAACUCACAACAGAGAAGAGAAAAUUUUGAAGAACACAAUAUUCUCUUGGUAAAUGAAGGAAUUUCACCUCAGUUAAAUUAAAAAUACCAGUCUUGAUCUGGGGUCAGCAAAUCAUAAUUCACCGAGCUAAAACAGACAUACACACAUACAUUCCCUUUCUCAAGCCUGAUAAGAAAACAUACUGGCUGCUAAAUGUAAUUACUAAACUGGAUCUAAGUAUGGUAGUAGAUUGGCAUUCAUAUCAGCAGGAGACAGAGUUCUGUGCAAGGAACAUGAAUUAGCUGUUGUUUUCUGCAUGGCAAAAAAAUACCUCUUCCUACCCAUAUUUUCCCCCAGCGAUAAGUAUGGGUGUUUUUCCUCUUGCCACGUUUAAUGGCAGUGCAUUAUAUCUGAACGUCUAGCUGUUCUUUCGUGAAAUACAAAUAUUUCCAGCCAAAUCCUAGGUGAGAGCUUAGCUGUUCUUUCGUGAAAUACAAAUAUUUGAUGGAAAGCCAGCCAAAUCCUAGGUGAGAACGGACAGGCUCAAACUUCAGACGUGGAAGAGCUUUCGAAGUUAUUUCUUUCUCAAGUGCUGUGUGAAAAUGUCUUUGGUAUCUUGAGAAUGAAGAGAGUCCCUGGUGUUCUGUUUACCCAGUACUCUCAAUAGGCCUGGGAAGAAGCUCCAGGCCUAAAGCUUCAGAGGGUUCAUUUCUUUACGGUUGAUGUUAUUAGGGACAGGGAAGAGCCCCAGCCAGCACUAAAAGUACCCCAAGACAAGUUUCCUCCCAACUAACUGAGACUCCACGGGCAAGGCCCCCUUUCACAUGUAACUUACAAUAACCAUCACAGUCAUGGGGCUUAACCUCAGAGGAAUGAUGUGUGGGAUGGGAAGCUUAAUGGGAAAUACACAGCUCCCCGCCCCCCAGAAAUGUACUGUCUGCCUAGGGGACUACGACUUUGUGACGUACAUUUGGAACCAGAGAUUUUCUUACUGAUCCUAUUAGAUCUUUUUGUUUGUCCAGCUCAUCAAAUGAUGGUAGUUAAUUUACUUCUCACUGCAAGAAUCCUGACAGCUAAAAUGUUGAAAAAUAGAUCAAGUUCCCAUUAUGGUAUUAUGGUUAUAAACUGUAGCUGUUGGUAUGCAGUUCUGAUGUAUAAAUUAAUAGGGCUGAAAAAUGGACUCCUUUUCAGAUGCACUGGAAUCAGCAGCUGCCAAAUAAUGUUAUCAACUUAUAUAUAUUUACUAUAAACCAGGAUAUGAAUUUGAUCUCUUUCUGCUGGCAAAGGUUGCCUUAAUAACUGCCUAGUUUAUAGAAGACUAGAUGAGCAUAUUGUUGUUGUUUAGUUGUUAAGUUGUGUCCGACUCUUUGUGACCCCAUGGACCAGAGCAUGCCAGGCCCUCGUGUCUUCCACUGCCUCCCGGAGUUGGGUCAAAUUCAUGUUGGUCGCUUCGAUGACACUGUCCAACCAUCUCGUCCUCUGUUGUCCCCUUCUCCUCUUGCCUUCACACUUUCCCAACAUCAGGGUCUUUUCCAGGGAGUCUUCUCUUCUCAUGAGAUGGCCAAAAUAUUGGAGCCUCGGCUUUCCUACUUUCUUCAGUUUAAGCUUGAGUUUUGCUAUAAGAAGCUGAUGAUCAGAGCCACAGUCAGCUCCAGGUCUUUUUUUUUUUUUUUUGCUGACUGUAUAGAGCUUCUCCAUCUUGUUGUAAGCCACCCAGAGAGCUUUGGGUAGAGUGGGCUGCAUGUAAGUGAAAUAAAAUAAAUAAAUACAUAAUCUGAUUUCGGUAU